CCUUACAAGAUUCCUUGGUUGGUCAAGCUGCUAUUCGAGACACCCUCCGGCUUUGCACUUUUCUCUUUUGACGAGAACUAUCUCAAGAAAGGCAUUGAGCACAUCUGGAUAUACUUCGUGGGCAGCUACUGGCACAAAAAUAUCCUCAGGCUCCAUGAAUUCCGAAAGUUCGAGGACAAGCCCAAUGUCAUUAACCUUACUGCCCAGACAAUAGACGUCGGCCUGACCCAGAUGCUCUGG